AUUGAACGCUGGCGGCAGGCCUAACACAUGCAAGUCGAGCGGCAGAGAGAAGCUUGCUUCUCUUGAGAGCGGCGGACGGGUGAGUAAUGCCUAGGAAUCUGCCUGAUAGUGGGGGAUAACGUCCGGAAACGGACGCUAAUACCGCAUACGUCCUACGGGAGAAAGUGGGGGCUCUUCGGACCUCACGCUAUCAGAUGAGCCCAGGUCGGAUUAGCUAGUUGGUGGGGUAAAGGCACACCAAGGCGACGAUCCGUAACUGGUCUGAGAGGAUGAUCAGUCACACUGGAACGGAGACACGGUCCAGACUCCUACGGGAGGCAGCAGUGGGGAAUAUUGGACAAUGGGCGAAAGCCUGAUCCAGCCAUGCCGCGUGUGUGAAGAAGGUCUUCGGAUUGUAAAGCACUUUAAGUUGGGAGGAAGGGUCGUUACCUAAUACGUGGCGAUUUUGACGUUACCGACAGAAUAAGCACCGGCUAACUCUGUGCCAGCAGCCGCCGUAAUAC
rnacentral:rRNA from 1 species